rnacentral:rRNA from 1 species
UGAGCAAUCUGCCCUUCUCAUCGGAAUAAGCGUUGGAAACGACGUCUAAUGCCGAAUACGACCUCCUUUCGCAUGACCGGAGGUGGAAAGCUCCGGCGGAGAAGGAUGAGCUCGCGGCCUAUCAGCUAGUUGGUGUGGGUAAUGGCCCACCAAGGCGACGACGGGUAGCCGGCCUGAGAGGGUGACCGGCCGCACUGGGACUGAGACACGGCCCAGACUCCUACGGGAGNAG